UGCCUCAGUUUCUUCAUUCUCUCAUUCCUCUCUCUCUCUCUCUCUCUCCCUCUCUCUCUCUCUCUCUCCAAGAUAGUGUGCUUUUUCCAAUGGGAGAAAGAGAAAAGCUUUCACAGCAGAAAGCCGGACAGAAUUUUCCACAAGGUCUCUUUCAACAAAGCAAUGGACAGCAAGAGAUCUCGGGCAAUCGGAGCACCAUCACCGAAGAUUUUCCAUUUGGAGGUGGGCCCCACACCCUGACGGCGGCUUGUUGAAGCAUUGGUGCUAUCCUACCUGAGCUUUUCUCCACAACCUCUCCUCCUUCGUUCUAAUUUUUAUUUUUGUUUCCUUCCCUUUGACUCGUUGCUUUUUGUUUUCCUUUGUGUCAAGUGUGUUCUUGACCUUGUAAGGCCUUUUCUUGACCUUGUAAGACCCCGUUCCAUUUCUUCCGUCUCUUUUCAUUGUUUUGUCACAAGUCUUAUAUCGGAAAUGUCUGAUAUAAGAUUUGUUCAUCGUCUUUCCCCAUUCCCGCCCAACUCACGUUCUCCUUCCUUGUCUAUCCCUCCUGAGCUAUUCAAAUUAGACUUUAUUAGCGUCUCUCCAAAUUUAAUUAGCAUAUCAUAUUUUCCCUUCAAUUUGAUGUAAAAUUUACCAUGAAGUAAUUUCUUAAUUAAGUUGUCUCUAGUUUUGUAGAGAGUA